GCCUUCGUGGUGCAGUGGUAAGCACGCUUGACUCGUACCCGAGUGGUUCCAUUCCCAGCGAAGGCG
rnacentral:tRNA from 1 species